rnacentral:lncRNA from 1 species
AAGAGACCAAAAAGUCCCAUCCUCACUCAUCUCUGGGAGAUGAAGCAGGAGAAAAAGCAAAGAAAAAUAUUGUGAAAGAACAUAGGGGAAAAAAGAAAAAGAAGAGGAGAGCAGAGGACAAAAGACAUCCCAAGGAGAGGAUAUCAGACUCUGAUGAUCUUUUGUUUAUCUCCAGGAGGGAAGUAAAACACAGAGGAAGAAAUUCACUGCCUAAUGAUGAAGAGGAAUUUGAAGUCCCGCCGUGGGAACCUCACCAGAGCCUGGUCAGAGCAACACCACCAGUCCAAUCGCAGGCAACGUGGAGAAACAAGGAAUGCCAGAACAGCCUCAGCACUAGUGCACAGAGCAUUAAGGAUGCAUAAUGAAGGAGCCUGUGAG